UACGUAGGGUGCGAGCGUUGUCCGGAAUUAUUGGGCGUAAAGGGCUCGUAGGCGGUUUGUCGCGUCGGGAGUGAAAAUCCAGGGCUUAACUCUGGACUGGCUUUCGAUACGGGCAGACUAGAGGUAUGCAGGGGAGAACGGAAUUCCUGGUGUAGCGGUGAAAUGCGCAGAUAUCAGGAGGAACACCAGUGGCGAAGGCGGUUCUCUGGGCCUGAUACUGACGCUGAGGAGCGAAAGCGGUGGGAGCAACAGG
rnacentral:rRNA from 1 species